ensembl:lncRNA
GCUACGUUAUCGAUCCUGACCAAAAAAGGGUCGGCGAUGCUGAACCACGAACGGAUCCUACUGGACAGCAGCACGAUGCCCACCAACAACACCACAACCCGUCCACCCAGGACACCGCUCCAGGACACACCGUCACGUUACACAACACGUCAGCCCAAGACGAAUAAUGUAAAACGACCACUGUUUGAUCAUCGCCGACCUUCACCAUCACAUAUGCGAACUAUUCACAAGGCGAUCAAACAAGUAACACCGUCUACAGAGCUGCAGUGCUUCGCUGUGGGGUGUUUGUCGGGCACAGACGCACAACCUCCCCCGUCGUUAAGAGACAAGGGAAGACACAAAGUGUGCUACAGAGACGAGCAACAACAUGAGGAUCUCUUCCGUUGAAGGAAUCUAAACAUUGCGAUACGUUAUAUCUGACGAGACAUACCUCCUCAGCAGUCGUGAACUCAGCCCUGUCGAUUUUCUGAUGCAUAGACGAGUCGUAACGAAACAAAUAUUCGUAGUGAUGGACAAGAUCGAAGCUUUCCGAAACACUGUCGAAAUGUAGGGGACGGUUCGGCUCUAUGAACCGUUUGACAACUCAUCUCACUGAUGACAUCUGCUGGACGUCCAAUCACUACACCGUCUGCCUGUUCCGAAACGGGCGAACGACGCGAAACGAACCUGCAACAGAGUGGCGUAAGCUGUGCUGGGCUGACCGCAGCAGGACCUCCCCUCUCCUCCGACACCUCCGCCAGCAGAAGGACCAGGCAGCGAUGGGGGACCAGGCCGCAGGAGCAGAGGGAGCUGCCGCCCACCACCUGGGACCAACCUGCCUCAUUUUUUUUUAUAAAUAUAUAAAUUAUUGAAAGAUAUAAAGUAUGUUUGAUCAUACGGCAGUACAUCUUUACACAGCUUUUGCCAUGUGUAGAAUUGCCAGGCUCCUCCCUCACUCUCCCUUCAGCCUGGUGGCUGUAGGGCGGUGUUCAGACGGGCGUAUUAUAGCCUGGGUUCGUCCGCCUCCGUGUGACGUUCCUG